rnacentral:lncRNA from 1 species
GUCAGCUCCGCGGGGGUUUUAGGGGUAAACCUCGGCUGAGAGCCAGGAAUCGGCUGUGGUCUCCGCGAGUGACUUCCUCACCCACUCCGCGUCCGCUAGACGCUGCCAUGGAUUCGCCGGCUCCGGAGCCGGAGCUUCAUCGGCCUCGCUAGGGUGCGGCCCGGGACGGGGCGACGGACGAUGUAAAUGAAGAUCAGGAGCAGAUUUGAAGAAAUGCAAAGUGAAUUGGUAGCAGUCAGCAUGUCAGAGACGGAACACAUAGCCUCCAUUUCUUCUGAUGCAACCACUGGGACAACAUCCGAGUUGAAGGACGACUCACGCAUCUCAGUUUCUGGUGAUGAAAGCAGCAGAUUAGAAACGGGAUCUGAACUACUGUCACUGAACCCUGACAG